ACAGCCAUAUAGCAUUGAAACACUGGUUACCAUAUGAUCACCAAAGUUAAGCAAUGUCAAGCUUGGUCAAUACCUAGAUGGGUGACCACUUGGGAAUUCCAGGUAGUGU